rnacentral:lncRNA from 1 species
GUGAGAAAUCUGAGACCUAAGAAAUUAAGUGAUUGGCCUGUGGGAGAUUUGAAUCCGGUUUUUCUGACUCCAAAGCCUUACCUGUUUCUUCCUAACAUGUUGACUGCCUAUUCUAAGCAUAUACAGUGUUGCAAAUGUCUGACACUGUUCUAGAGCCUCAUCCUCUUUUCACCUCCAACAUGCUCUUGUUUGUGGCCUGGUCGUCAGAGUAUAUGCGCUGGGCUGGGAAACCCUCAUUGGUGGAGACAAAGUGGCAAGAGAGUAAAGGUGGCAAUUUCCAAGGGGACCUCAUUGCACAUCAGACACAAAGUGUGACUCAGGCAUGUGCCUCAACAUAUAAGCCAAGAGAGUGCCAGGCCUUUAAAUAAGAAACACUGGAUGUUUUCUGCAACUUAAAUACAAGGUAUCAGAGCCAGGAGGGUGGCUGACUCUGAUGAUAGAACAAGAGCCAAAUAUGCUCCUGAUGCUCCAGUAGAGUGGUCUUCAGGUGAUCGAGAUUCCGAGCUCCCAAACCAAGGCAAGAAUAAGGAAACUGGAACAGGAGGGCAUGCUGGGCUCCAGCCUCCCGUGACAGUGAAACAUUGCCUUAGAAUGACUGUUGUUAAUACAAUUGAGGAAAUAUAACACGUAAUCUUGUGAUUAAGUUAUACACAAUUUGAUUUAAAUUUAGUUCCUGGCAGUUGCUAGGUUUCACUCUGGCAUACUCUCUCAGUGUGGAAGCUGCUGAUUCAGAAAGAGAUGUUCCAAAGCUCAUGUAUUUCCUGGACACAUCCAAGUACUGAAUAAAAUGCUGGUUAAAUAAAUGAGUUAAUUUUCCAAGAAAGACACCAAUUACUUUUAGAUUCUUUUGCUUUCUUAAGCAGAUGUGUACACAUUCGGAAACAUAAUUGGAGGGAGGAUAGAAUGGGGGAAAACAUGGAACUGCUGGGAGCUCAGUCAGAGACUGAAGAUGAUGCAGAGACUUAUUGAGAGGACCACAUUGGGUGCCUGGAAACUGGAAGAACAAGACACUUGGACUCCUAUUUUUUCACAAGUUGGUAGGAUGGGGACAGAAGCAUGGGAGGUGAAAAC